GGAUUAGAUACCCCACUAUGUAAGCCGUAAACUGAAUUACACCCCACCAACACCAGGGAAUUACGAGCAACGCUUAAAACCCAAAGGACUUGACGGUACCCCAUCCACCUAGAGGAGCCUGUUCUACAAUCGAUAGUCCCCGUUUCACCUCACCUUCACUAGAUUUAACAGCCUGUAUACCUCCGUCGUAAGCUUACCGUAUGAAUGCAAAAAGUGAGCCCAAUUAAUUACCCUUAAACACGUCAGGUCAAGGUGCAGCCCAUGUGAAGGUAGUAAUGGGCUACAAUUUCUAACUUAGAACAAACUAACAGUCACAUGAAAUUGUGACUCAAAGGCGGAUUUAGAAGUAAGGAGAUGAUAGAGAGCCCCCCUGAACACGGACCUGGGUUAUGUACAAACCGCCCGUCACCCUCUUCUACAUUAUAUACCCUAUCUAUAAUAAUCCAACUCUGCUUAAGAAGAGGCAAGUCGUAACAUGGUAAGUGUACUGGAAGGUGCACUUUGAAUAA
rnacentral:rRNA from 1 species